CCUACGGGAGGCAGCAGUGGGGAAUAUUGGGCAAUGGGCGCAAGCCUGACCCAGCAACGCCGCGUGAAGGAAGAAGGCUUUCGGGUUGUAAACUUCUUUUAAGAGGGAAGAGCAGAAGACGGUACCUCUUGAAUAAGCCACGGCUAACUACGUGCCAGCAGCCGCGGUAAUACGUAGGUGGCAAGCGUUGUACGGAUUUACUGGGUGUAAAGGGCGUGUAGCCGGGCUGACAAGUCAGAUGUGAAAUCCCGUGUCUCAACCACGGAACUGCAUUUGAAACUGUCGGUCUUGAGUAUCGGAGAUGCAGGCGGAAUUCCGAGUGUAGCGGUGAAAUGCGUAGAUAUUAGGAGGAACACCAGUGGCGAAGGCGGCAUGCUGGACGACAACUGACGGUGAGGCGCGAAAGCGUGGGGAGCAAACAGGAUUAGAUACCCGAGUAGUC
rnacentral:rRNA from 1 species